UGGGCAGAUAGAAAAGAAAAACAAAAAAAACACCACCACCAACAAAAACCCAACCCAAAACAUGCAGAGAUGUAGGUACACAUUGCAAAAGGAAAUAAAAAGAAAAGCCUGAGAUAUUUCACGGUGACUGAAACCUUGCAGGCCACUUACUCCUUAGUUGAGGAGCAGCCUUCAAACGACCCGGAGGGAAAUGCUUUCCCCUGCUAUCUUCAAUGAAAGCUGCCUUUUUUUCCUUUUUCCCUCUCUAGGUAGGGCCUCACAACCAUGCCCCCCAACAUCAGUGGGACUAAUGACACCGCUAAGGUUGCAAGGUUGCCUGCAUGGAUGCCUCUGCUCAGGGAGCUAUCAUGGAAGACAUACCUUAGCCUCUGUCUGGAAGUGUCAUCAGUUUUGACCGAUCACUUUUCGCCAUCCACCUGCUCCCUCCAUUCCUUUGGACUAUUUGCAGAAACGGGAUCUGGUGACCCAAUCUGCUGAGCAAUCCUCACUGCUGUGAGCCUCACCUGAAGCUCUGGGAACCAAUCCCCAUGAAACAAUCAGAAUUUAACUAAGGGACCAGCACUGGGGCAGUAAUUGCAAAGGAGGGGGGUUUGCUCUUACUGCCAAACAUAAAUAGCCAACCAUACUUUUCUUGCAGCAGAUACUCCAGGAACAUUGGGUGCUUUUGUAUUACUAGCUGCUGUGCUGCAGCCUUUCCCAGCACGUGUACAGCAUGUAUCAAUGAUUUUGAACAUAUACAGUGUAAUCAAACAUCAACCUAAAUGUUUCUAUGGUUAGCAGCUUCUGAGGUGCGAGGUACGUCACACAACCUUACCCAAGAUGUACAGAGAAAGGAUGAAAUCUGAAAAGCAGCUUUCACAAAGCCACCCAAACCAUACCUCUCUGGCCUUAGGUUUUCAAGCUCAGUUCUACAGAAGAGUUUUCUUCCUUCUGGGCGAAAAUGCAGCACGUUCAGGGCAUUUGCCCUGAACAUAUUUAUACUAGUGACUUUGUUCUGUGUUGCAAGACUUGUGAGUGCUUUACUGAUACAAAUAUUUCUGAUAAUGCUUGCAAACCAGAGAAGCCUGUUGAGGGAAUCAGUAAUCCUGAAGAAUGCUAUUAUAGUACAGAGUUGAAAUUACAAACAUGAACACAGUUCCAAAAGCCGUUUAAAAUACUUACUGGAGAAGUUACCGGACCAAUGGUACAGUUGCUACUUUCACCAGGAACUGAAGAAUCCUGCUUUUUAACACCAACUCAGAAGCCUGGAUUAUUGAAGAGCACUCCGUAACAGCAGGAAGAAAACCCAAAACGUAGUUGCAAAACUGGGGAAAAAAAAGAGAAGAACUGUGGUAAAGUUUUCC